AUAGCUAACGCGUUAAGUAUCCCGCCUGGGAAGUAUGCUCGCAAGGGUGAAACUCAAAGGAAUUGACGGGGGCCCGCACAAGCGGUGGAGCAUGUGGUUUAAUUUGAUGCAACGCGAAGAACCUUACCAGAGUUUGACAUAACACGAAUCUCUUUUAAUUUAGAGAGUAUCUUUAUGAAACGUGUAUACAGGUGGUGCAUGGCUGUCGUCAGCUCGUGUCGUGAGAUGUUGGGUUAAGUCCCGCAACGAGCGCAACCCUUGUUUUUAGUUGCCAUUUAUGGAUCUCUAGAAAGACUGCCGGUGAUAAACUGGAGGAAGGUGAGGACGAGGUCAAGUCAUCAUGCCCCUUAUACUCUGGGCUACACACGUGCUACAUUGGAUAGGACAAAGCGAAGCAAUCUUGCGAAAGGGAGCAAAUCGCUAAACUUAUUCUAAGUUCGGAUUGUAGGCUGCAACUCGCCUACAUGAAGGUGGAAUCGCUAGUAAUCGCUGGUCAGCAAUACAGCGGUGAAUCCGUUCUCGGGCCUUGUACACACCGCCCGUCACACCAUGGAAGCGGGUCUUACCCGAAAUCGUUACUCUAACUUU
rnacentral:rRNA from 1 species